GUAUGCAUAUGUUCAUGUGUGGAUAAGGAACCCUCUAACUAGUUUCUCACCAUUCUAUUUCAUCACAAUCUGUUUUGCUUUAAGUUUGUUUUCAAAGUUUAAGUUUUAAAGUUUCAAUUUUCGUCAAAAUCAAUCCCCCAUUUAUUUUAAAGUGUUAGAUUAGUUAGAAAUCAAUUUAGUUUGUGUUUUUAAGUGCUUUGAGUCAAGUUAUAGUCCAAUUUCGUCCAAAUUAGUGUUAGGUACUCAAAACUGCCCAGAAAGUGGUUUUAAGGCAGUUUUGAGUCUUUUAGUUGCUGUUUUGAGUUUUUGGUUGAUUUAGGUGCUUUAAACUCUAGUUUAGUGUUCUACAUUAUGUUUUUAUGUUCUUGAGUCAGUUUCACAUUGAUUAGCAUCCCUAGUUAAUCCCCGGUUUAGAACGAUCCCUAUUUGCUCAUAUACUACAAUUGUCAUCCAUAGGGUUUAAUUUGUGUGUCAAGUUAAUUUUCACAUCAGAAUCCUAGUUGAAUUAGGAUUCCUAGUCAAAAUGGGUUUCCUAGUUGAAUUAGGAUUCCUUGAAGAUGAAGAUUUCUACUCAAACAAGGUUUCCUACUUGAAGUAGGAAAGUUAAAUCCAAAUGGCAUCAAGUUGCAGCUACAAAGAAGAUUUCCAAGUCCAAGAAGGAGAAGGAAUCCAAAAUGAAGAAGGAAUGACAAAGACAAGGUUUCCUAAUCCUAAUAGGCAAAGUUUCCAAAUGCAAUGAGGAGUCCUUAUCCAUUUAGGAUACCUUAUCCUUGUUCUAGAAACCUUAUCCAUCCUUGCCGUGAGUUUUCCUUGCAUUAGAGGGUUUCUAGAAGCCCUAGUCUGCCCUAUCCUUUAAAGUGCCGCACCUAUCCCUUCUAGAAACCUGAUUUCCUUGCCUUGCAAGGCCAUCUAGAAACCUUAUCACCUUAUCCUAUCCCUGCCGCACCUAGGAACCCUUUUCCCUUGCAAAAUCUGAUUGUUAGACCUAUUUCCUUGUGGAUUUGGGUUAUCCAAGUCCAUAUCUGAUUACCCUAGGGUUUUAAGUGCCUAUAUAUACUCCUAUUAACCCCUAAAUCAGAUAACCACUCACCACAAUUCAGAAUUCACUCCAGAAAUUCGUCCAAACUCUCUCCACAUCUUUGCCGCACCAUUCCCUUCCCCUAAACACUACUACAUACAUCCAUAACCAUGCAUCCAUACACCUAAGGUCCUAUACUAGUCCCUAGACCCUUUGCCGCACCAAGGAGGAGGAGAAGGAAG
rnacentral:lncRNA from 1 species